CAUCCACAAUCACACUGGGCUGAGCCCAGCCGCCCCAGGCCAGUGGGGUGGGAGCCCACGUUUUCAUUCUCCGCUCCAAGUCUUUCUCUGAUCUGAUCUGCUGCACUCAGGAUCUCAGCGCCAACUGGCUCAAAUAUGCCCAGUUAAUUCUCACCUAGCUUCACUGCCAAGUCCAGUUGAGUGAUGGUCCCUGCCCCGGGAAUGAGGAGGUCUGGGCUCAGUUCAAGCCCUGCCACUGACGCAGUUAUGUGGCCUGGCCAAGCCACUUUUAGCUUCUUUAAGCCUCAGAGCCUCCAUCUGCCAAAAGGGCAUAUUGAUCAUUAUCUGACUUGAGAAAGUGAGAAAAUGAAUAUGUAUGUAUAUUGAAAAUAUAAAUAUACAGCCCAAUGCAAGUUAUUCAAUGAGGCCCAUGAACAGUGACAAAGAAUCUCCUUAGCAGACUUUAGUUUGGCUCCUCUGAGCCCUCUUCAGGACUAGGCCUUGACCUUGGCCCCACCCUUGCUGAGCCGCAUGGCCCAGUUAUAGCAAGAAUCCUGUGAAGUCAGUCUAUCAAGAAUCACCCACCAACUGCGUCACCCUGCUCCUUGACUACACAUUCCCACAUAUCCUUAUUAUAUUUGAGGUUGAGCUCAGUGCUAUAGCAAAGUCUCUUCCCCCCAUUGCACUAGCUUCUGAAUAAAAUCUGUCUUAACUGCUUUCACUAGUGUCUGGCUCAGCUUCUUUCUGACAUGCGUCAAUAUAUUCCUAGAACUUUAAAACUAAAACAUUUGAGCGCAAGUCUUGCUUCAUUUUUGAUUAUCACUGAUCAAGUUACUGCUCCUCUCGGGGCCAUUGUAUGCUCGUCUCUCGAGCAGUGAGUGUAAUGGAAUGGACCACAUAUGAGAAUUAAAUGAGAUCAUGGAGGUAAGGCACUUAGCCCAGUGCUGCCCAUGGUAAGGCUGCAAUAAGUGAAUACAGGGCUCAUCAUGAACUCACUUAAAUUUGACAAUGGAAAGAUAUGGCCUUACUUUUGCAGUUGUUUUGUCAAAGAGGUAUCUCUUGGAUCUAAUCGUGCGAACAUCAGACAAACCUUGUUUGAAGGGUAUUUCCAAAAUAACUAGCCUGUAUUCACCGAAAGCAUCUAGAACAUGGGAGUAAGAGAAGGAUGGAGAAAUGGUUCCAGACUGCUGAAGACGUGUGAUUAUGACCUGGGCCUGUUGCUAAAAGGCCAUCAUUGAGAUACUUAGCAAAGAGCGACGAGAGUACAAAGAUAAUAGAGCUGUAGCAUAGCAAUGUUAAUUUCCUGAUUUUGUGGUUCUGGGUUGUGGUUCUACAAGAGAAUGUCCUUGUUUGCAGGAAAUAUGCACUGAUAUAUUCUGGGGUGAGAGGGCCUCAGGUGGCAAACCAUCUGGAGUGGAGGAGGUUCUUUGUAACUCUUCUAUGAGGUUUAGAUUCUUUCAAAGUAAACAAAGCAUCCAAAAAUAAUAAAAAAUGAAAGACUGCUCAGAUAGGUUGAAGAGGUCUGGCAGGAUUAGGACUCACUAAAAUCUGGGAUUUUUUUUUGUUUUGUUUUUUGGGGGAGUUUUUUUGGUCCUUUUAGGGCCACACCCACGGCAAAUGGAGGUCCCCAGACUAGGGGUCCAAUCAGAGCUGUGACUACUGGCCUACACCACAACCACAGCAACACCAGAUCCGAGCCUCAUCUACGACCUACACCACAGCCCACGGCAGCGCCAGAUCCUUAACCGGCUGAGCAAGGCCAGGGAUUGAACCUGCGUCUUCAUGGAUACUAGUCAAAUUCAUUUCUGCUGAGCCACGACGGGAACUCCCCAUCUGGGCUUUCUGAUCCCAGGACCAGUGUUCUUCCCACUGAGCCUGGGCCAGGCAGAAUGAUUUUAGGAGGCACGUAAGUACUAUUCAAAGGGACUUGGGUUCUAGUUCCCAUCUUGCUUUUAAACACAGACAAGUCCCUUCCUCUCUCUGCACAUUAGUCUCUUCAUCUAUAGAAUGAGCUGGUGUCAGAAGCCCAAGGUCUUUAACAAAGGCACUACCAUACUCUAGAUGUUUGGAAGUAUGGAUCCACAGUUCUUCACAGCCAAGACUCACCUUGCAACCUAGUACUGAGGAGAAACUACUUUGUUUUGUUCAUCAUUUUAGCAGGAGUUAUUCACCAUUUUUUUAAGAUUUUUAUUGUUUUCCAUUACAGUUGAUUUACAGUGUUCUGUCAAUUUCUCCUGUACAGCAAAGUGACCCAGUCAUACAUAUAUACAUAUUCUUUUUUUCCCGUUAUCCUCCAUCAGGUUCCAUCACAAGUGACUGGAUAUAGUUCCCUGAGCUAUACAGCAGGAUCUCAUUGCGUACCCACUUUAUUCACCAUUGUAAAAGAAGCCUCAUCCCAAUAGCAGUGCUGCUUUUGGUAAGUGAGCUGCUCACACCUGCAUCAGGACCACCCUCCAUGACUCUACACAUGGGACAAAUUUCUGACCACUUCAUUAUGUCCCCUAGUCUAGUCCUGCCUGAGCAUUGUCAGCAUAAUACAUAUGAUUUUAUCACAAGGUAAUUUCUUGUCAUUUCUCUCUCAUGUUAUAGUUAGGUUUAUAGAAUGUAUUUUUUUUUUUUUGAUAUCUUGUGUGUAGACGUAUGGUCAGGCCACUCAGGAUGUCUGUUCCUCACUCUCUAUACAUCCCCUGCCCAACCAGCGCCUGCUUCACCUACAGCCUAAGCACUGACUGACCUUCCCACAUGCUUGCCCCAGGCCCCAGCUAGUGAGAGUUUAUCAAAGGGGUGAUAAGGGGUGUGCUCCCCACUGGUUUCCCUGGUAACUAAUGAGCCAAGCUGAUUAACUCCCCCUAUAACUGGCAAUCUCCCCUUUCCCUGGGAGCAAAGACUACCACCAGGUCCUGCCUGCCAUCCACCACACACAGUGGGGUGUUGCUCCAGGAUCUUGUUUCAGAUGUGGAAGCCUCCCCCAUCUAUUAAACCAUCUGUUGCUGACUUCAGGCUCUUCAGUCUUUAAAAAAAAAUUAUUAUUUGGGAGUUCCCAUCAUGGUUCCUUGGAAACAAAUCUGACUAGCACCCAAGAGGACACAGGUUCUAUCCCUGGCCUUGCUCAGUGGGUUAAAGAUACAGUGUUGCCAUAAGCUGUGGUGUAGGUCACAGACAUGGCUCAGAUGUGGCAUUGCUGUGGCUGUGGUGUAGGCCAGCGGCUACAGCUCCUGUUCAACCCCCACCUAGCCUGGAACCUUCAUAUACAUGGGUGCGGUGGGGCCCUAAAGAAAGUUUUGUUUUAUGUCCACUUCCAUGGCGUAUGGAAGUUCCCAGACCAGGGACUGAAUUCGAGCUGCAUCUGUGACCUACGCCACAGCUUCAGCAAUGCUGGAUCCUUUAACCCACUGUACCAGGCUGGGGAUUGAACCUGCACCUUCUCAGUGACCUGAGCCACUUCAGUUGGAUUUAUAACCCAUUGUACAAGAGGAACUCCUCUUUCUUUGGUCUUGAAGUUGGGCAAGCAUAGGGUCUCAUAGGCUUGUGGGGUGUAGCCCAACAGUAAGUAUAUGUAUUUAUAUGUAUUUGUGAAUUUCAUUCAGGCUACACAGUGUUUCUUAUAAAAAGGGGCAUUGGGUUGACCAUGGCUGAGAGCUACUGUUCUGUCUAAUGGGCUCCACCUCAUUCUUUUUUUUAUUGACGUAUACUUUUUUUAAACUUUUAUUGAAGUAUAACCAAUUUACAAUGUUGUGUUAGUUUCUGCAUGUAGCAAAGUGAUCCAGUAUACAUAUAUACGCAUUCUUUUUCAUUAUGGUUUAUCACAGGAUAUUGAAGAAAGUUCCCCUUGCUACACAGUAGGACUCUGCAGUUUAUCCUUCCUAUAUAUACUAGUUUGCAUCUGCUAAUCUCAAACUCUCAAUCCUUCCCUCCCCCCUCUCCACCUUACCCUUGGCAACCACAAGUCUGUUCUCUAUGUCUGUGAGUCUGUCUCUAUUUCAUAGAUAAGUUCAUUUCCACCUCAUUCUUUAAAGUAGUUUGCAGUGUAACCAUUUCUUUACUGAGAGACAUUCGGAAUAUUUGAGGUUAUGUUCCAUUUUUCACUGUUGCCAAUAAGGCUGUAGUGUAUAUCUUGGUACCUGCCUCUACGUUACAUGAUUAGUUUCUAAAGCAGGUCAAAUUAGAUCAAUUCACAAGGUCAUUUCCCUCUGGCCAAGGCCCCUUCACUGCCCAUCAGAUACUGCCCUCAACACCAUGGGCACUACAGGAUGGGAACACUUUUCCUUUUCUUUUCUUGUCCAUGCCGUUUCACUGUCAAUAAUUGACCGAUUCUUGGCAACAAUUCACUUAGCAUUAGAUAAACAACAUGUUCACUGCUUGACAACAAGUCCCCCUCAACAGAUCUAUUCAACUCAAACUGAUCGGCAGGAAUAAAGCGUGGCUUGGCACAACACUCCCAGCUGGAGUUGACACAAUUUGAAAUGCAUUUUGUUCUGACAUCAAAGUCUUUUUGCAACUGGGUCUUCAUUUUUAUCAACAUGGUAACUAAGCCCAGAGGAGUGAAGGAAAACCAGAUUCUCCUUCACACUCCCACUCACACUGGCUUCUCUCCAAGGGCUCCUCUGAGCACAUCAUUCUGUGCUGGUGGAAAGGUCUUUAGAUUUCUAGCUUCUAAAUGUCUCUAUCUCACAUAUGUGAAAUGCAAGCACUCUCCAUAGGCUUGCAUUCAACACAUAUCAGCCAUUUCAGGGAGUUCCCGUCAUGGCUCAGCAGAAAUGAAUCUGACUAGCAUCCAUGAGGACACAGGUUCAAUCCCUGGCCUUACUCACUGGGUUAAGGAUCCGGCAUUUCCAUAAGCUGUGGUGUAGGUGGCACACACAGCUCAGAUCUGUCGUUGCUGUGGCCAUGGUGUAGGCCAGUGGCUACAGCUCUGAUUUGACCCCUAGCUUGGGAACAUCCAUAUGCCUCGGGUCCAGCCCUAAAAAGACAAAAAA
ensembl:lncRNA